CCAAUCCUAUUCGAAAAGGUUUAGUCAACCACCGAAAGCGAGUCUUGCGUAGUCAGUAGAGAUAUUGGCACGAAGCGUAGACAGCGACUGCUGAGGGUGUGCUAUUGAGCCUCGAAACUCUCUUACAUGCCGAAGUCCUGAUUGUUCGAUAGAUCAGGGCAACAUCAAGCCAGCGUUAUGACAAGUUGGUGAGAUUUGGCCGGGGUCUGAGAACA
rnacentral:ncRNA from 1 species